AUGACUGAACUUGUUCACUAUAUUUUGUCUCUAAUUUCAACAGAAUGUAAGUGCAGAUUGUUCUGUGGCCCUGAUAUAAUGCAUAAUGUAUGUGUUCUGUGUUUAGGUUUAAUCUUAAAAAUGGAACAGUACACAUCAUACAUAGAAUGUGAGACUUCUAAAGUGCCUUUAUCUGAUAUUGCUCAGAGGAUUAUGACAGCUUUGCAGUCUAUUCCUGUAGAAGUUCAGGCUAGCAGGAAGAAUAACCAGAGUGUAGAGACGACAGAGGACAAUAAACUAGGUGAUAAGGAUGCACAUGUGAAAAGUGAAAAGGCAAGCAUUCUUUAAGAUGGAAGAUCACUAACAGCAGGGGCAGUGGGGAGGGAGAUAGGUCUGGGAGUAAAAAAAAUGAAAAAUCAUAGAUGUAAGAGAUCACUACAGUUCUUCAUGGUGGUUGUGCUGCUUUCCAGGGCUGUUAGCAGCACUGUUCAGUCUUCUCCAGACUUGCUAAUGGCACAUGAUUUUUUCUAUUCUGUGGGUGUUGCUUUUAUGAUUAAUCUCCUAAUUUUUGGGUUUGCAGCACUGUAAAUCAGUCUAAGCCUUGCCACCUGUUCCUUCUUUUCUGCUUUUCAUUGGUUUUCAUUUUGGUCCUUCCAUAGGCUGGUACUUGUCAUUACAUAACCAUAAAGUGUACUUCUCAUGUGAAAAAUUACUUUGUAUUGGGAAGUUUAAUUUUUGGUUCUAUCAUCUCUCUGAAUUGGGUUUAAUGUGCCAGUACAAGAAUGGGAAUGGAUAACUGGAACAGCCCCAACUCAGACGUGAUUUUAAGAUCCAUUGAGUUGAUCAAAGAGUUGCAGAUACUGCUGGUGUACUUCUGUCCCAGCCCCAAAUUUCACAGCUUUCCUUACUCUGACUCUGGUGCAUGUUGCACACUUCAGCAAGUCUAUUCAAGUUGCUCAAGAUGCCGAAAACGGUUUGGUUUCUUUUGUGGGGUGGGAUAGUUUCCUGCAAAUUAAAUUGACUCAUGGGUAGACUUGCAGCUGUGGGUGCACAUGGAUAGUAGUGGAACCCCUUUAUGUGUUGAUGAGGUGCAAAUUUUGAACUCCGCUGCAUCCACAUAAAUUAUUCUACAUCCUGGGAGUUGCUUUCUCUACUUCCAGCCAUGUCAUUAUUUCUAGUAGAAGAUGACUUCUUCCUGGAAGCUGCUGCUUCUCUGUGUGGUUAAUUGUAGUUCCAGCUGUAUUAUUCUGACUUGAUAAUUAAAUUGCUUCAUUCUUAUUUUUGAACCUUUAAAAGAGAAUUGCUUAUUGCUGAUUCUAUAAUUACUUGAGUGUCCUAAUUCAAAUUCUGCUGUGUUAAACAAUAAAACUACUUGCAAUUUGACUGGAGAAUACA
rnacentral:lncRNA from 1 species